UACGAAGGGUGCAAGCGUUACUCGGAAUUACUGGGCGUAAAGCGUGCGCAGGCGGUUCGUUAAGUCUGCUGUGAAAGCCCUGGGCUCAACCUGGGAAUGGCAGUGGAUACUGGCGAGCUAGAGUACGGUAGAGGAAGGUGGAAUUCCCGGUGUAGCGGUGAAAUGCGUAGAGAUCGGAAAGAACACCAACGGCGAAAGCACUCUGCUGGGCCGACACUGACACUGAGAGACGAAAGCUAGGGGAGCAAAUGGG
rnacentral:rRNA from 1 species